rnacentral:tRNA from 1 species
UGCGGUGUAGGGAAGUGGUCAAUCCCGCUGGGCUCAUAUCCCGGAGAUCAUCGGUUCGAAUCCGGUCGCCGUUA